rnacentral:rRNA from 1 species
UACGGGGGGAGCAAGCGUUGUUCGGAUUUACUGGGCGUAAAGGGCGCGUAGGCGGUCGUGACAAGUCACUUGUGAAAUCUCCGGGCUUAACUCGGAACGGUCAGCUGAUACUGCUUUGCUAGAGUGCAGAAGGGGCAAUCGGAAUUCUUGGUGUAGCGGUGAAAUGCGUAGAUAUCAAGAGGAACACCUGAGGUGAAGACGGGUUGCUGGGCUGACACUGACGCUGAGGCGCGAAAGCUAGGGUAGCAAACGGG